AAAAACAUGGCUUUUUGAAUUUAAUUUAAAGUCUGACCUGCUCAAUGAAUUUUAAAUAGCCGCAGUAUCUUAACUGUGCAAAGGUAGCAUAAUCAUUAGUUUUUUAAUUGGAAGCUGGCAUGAAAGGUCGAAUGAGAAAAUAGCUGUCUCUAUAAAAAUUUUAUAGAAUUUUAUUUUUAAGUAAAAAAGCUUAAAUAAUAAUAAAAGACGAGAAGACCCUAUAGAGUUUUAUAUUUAUAAAAAAAUUAUUUUUAUUUAGUAUUUUAAAUAUAAUUUUUUUUAUAUUAUUUAGUUGGGGUGAUUGGAAAAUUUAAUAAACUUUUCUUUAAUUUUUACAUUUAUAUAUGAAAUUAUGAUCCUUUUAUAAAGAUUAUAAGAUAAAAUUACCUUAGGGAUAACAGCGUAAUUUUUUUUGAGAGUUCUUAUCGACAGAAAAGAUUGCGACCUCGAUGUUGGAUUAAAAUUAAUUUUUGGUGUAGAAGCUAAAUAAAUUAGGUCUGUUCGACCUUUAAAAUUUUACUUGAUCUGAGUU
rnacentral:rRNA from 1 species